rnacentral:pre_miRNA from 1 species
ACUAUUUCAAGAGAGCUUCCUUCAGUCCACUCAUGGAUAGGUGAAGGGUUCGAAUUAUCUGCUGACUCAUUCAUUCAAAUGCAGUAGAAGGAGUGUCUUUUUACUACUGUAAAUGUGUGAAUGAUACGGGAGAUAAAUUUCGUCCUAUUCUUCUCUGUGCUUGGACUGAAAGGAGCUCCCUUUCACUAAUUA